rnacentral:rRNA from 1 species
GAUGAACGCUGGCGGCGUGCUUAACACAUGCAAGUCGAACGGAAAAGCCCAAGCUUGCUUGGGUACUCGAGUGGCGAACGGGUGAGUAACACGUGGGUGAUCUGCCCUGCACUUCGGGAUAAGCCUGGGAAACUGGGUCUAAUACCGGAUAGGACCACAUUUUGGAUGGUGUGGUGGAAAGUUUUUCGGUGUGGGAUGAGCUCGCGGCCUAUCAGCUUGUUGGUGGGGUAAUGGCCUACCAAGGCGUCGACGGGUAGCCGGCCUGAGAGGGUGUACGGCCACAUUGGGACUGAGAUACGGCCCAGACUCCUACGGGAGGCAGCAGUGGGGAAUAUUGCACAAUGGGCGCAAGCCUGAUGCAGCGACGCCGCGUGGGGGAUGACGGCCUUCGGGUUGUAAACUCCUUUCGCUAGGGACGAAGCGUUUUUGUGACGGUACCUGGAGAAGAAGCACCGGCUAACUACGUG